rnacentral:rRNA from 1 species
UGGGGAAUAUUGGACAAUGGGCGAAAGCCUGAUCCAGCCAUGCCGCGUGUGUGAAGAAGGUCUUCGGAUUGUAAAGCACUUUAAGUUGGGAGGAAGGGCAGUAAGCGAAUACCUUGCUGUUUUGACGUUACCGACAGAAUAAGCACCGGCUAACUCUGUUCCAGCAGCCGCGGUAAUACAGAGGGUGCAAGCGUUAAUCGGAAUUACUGGGCGUAAAGCGCGCGUAGGUGGUUCGUUAAGUUGAAUGUGAAAGCCCCGGGCUCAACCUGGGAACUGCAUCCAAAACUGGCGAGCUAGAGUAGGGCAGAGGGUGGUGGAAUUUCCUGUGUAGCGGAGAAAUGCGUAGAUAUAGGAAGGAACACAAGUGGCGAAGGCGACCACCUGGGCUCAUACUGACACUGAGGUGCGAAAGCGUGGGGGGCAAACAGG